rnacentral:rRNA from 1 species
CCCUAGAGGAGCCUGUUCCAUAAUCGAUAAACCCCGAUCCACCUCACCCUCUCUUGCUUAGCCUAUAUACCGCCAUCUUCAGCAAACCCUGAUAAAGGUUACAAAGUGAGCACAAACGCCCUACCGCCGCAAAAACGUUAGGUCAAGGUGUAGCCAAUGAAAGGGUAAAAAUGGGCUACAUUUUCUACACCAGAAAACUCCACGAAAACUCUUAUGAAAUCUGAGAGUCCAAGGAGGAUUUAGCAGUAAAUUAAGAAUAGAGUGCUUAAUUGAACCAGGCCAUAAAGCGCGUACACACCGCCCGUCACUCCCCUCAAAUAUAUUUAAGGAACAUCUUAACUAAACGCCCUAACAUUUAUAUAGAGGGGAUAAGUCGUAACAUGGUAAGUGUACUGGAAGGUGCACUUGGAC